rnacentral:rRNA from 1 species
UAGUCCUAGCCGUAAACGAUGACCACUAGGUGUGCGGGGUAUCGACCCCCUGCGUGCCGUCGUUAACGCAAUAAGUGGUCCGCCUGGGGAGUACGGUCGCAAGACUAAAACUCAAAGGAAUUGACGGGGACCCGCACAAGCAGCGGAGCGUGUGGUUUAAUUCGAAGCAACGCGAAGAACCUUACCAGGGCUUGACAUGCACGUGCACCAGCCAGAGAUGGUUGUCCCUUCGGGGCGCGUGCAC